rnacentral:rRNA from 1 species
UACGUAGGGAGCAAGCGUUGUCCGGAAUCAUUGGGCGUAAAGCGCGCGUAGGCGGCCCGGUAAGUCCGCUGUAAAAGUCAAAGGCUCAACCUUUGAAUGUCAGUGGAUACUGCCGGGCUAGAGUCCGGAAGAGGCGAGUGGAACUCCUGGUGUAGCGGUGGAAUGCGUAGAGAUCCGGAAGAACACCGGUGGCGAAGGCGGUCUGCUGGGCAGUUGCUGACACUGAGGCGCGACAGCGUGGGGAGCAAACAGGG